UGGGGAAUAUUGCACAAUGGGGGAAACCCUGAUGCAGCGACGCCGCGUGAGCGAAGAAGGCUUUCGAAUCGUAAAGCUCUGUCCUAUGAGAAGAUAAUGACGGUAUCAUAGGAGGAAGCCCCGGCUAAAUACGUGCCAGCAGCCGCGGUAAUACGUAGGGGGCAAGCGUUAUCCGGAUUCAUUGGGCGUAAAGCGCGCGUAGGCGGUUUGUUAGGUUAGGAGUUAAAUCUGGGGGCUCAACCCCUAUCCGCUCCUGAUACCGGCAGGCUAAAGUCUGGUGGGGGAAGGCGGAAUUCCAAGUGUGUCGGUGAAAUGAGCAGAUAUUUAGAAGAACACCGGUGGCGAAAGCGGCCUUCUGGGCCACGACUGACGCUGAGGCGCGAAAGCUAGGGAAGCGAACAGG
rnacentral:rRNA from 1 species